GUCAUUCUAGCCUCUAGGUCUCUAACUCACUAUCAUGUUUGCUCUCAUUUGAUUCUAAGAAAGAAAGAGUUUUGUUUAGCAAAAAAAAAGAAAAAGAAAGAAAGGGUUUUCUGUCAUUCUCUAUUUCUCAUAGACCUUCUAGCAAUCCACCACUGACCAUCUCCUCUACUUGCCGCCGGCAAGGAUCUACUGUACAGAAGAAAAGAGGUUAAGGAAAGGCUAAGGGUGUUUAUCCAUGCCAUAGCUACAAGUGUGAGAUACAUGACAGAAGAUCAAUGCUAGAGGUGGUGAUCAAAAUGUGGAUGAAAAUAGAGAAGAUGACUCUGAGGAGGAAACUCUCAAAAGAAGGACAAUGACUCAUAUAAUGAUUAGUCUUCUAAUAUUUAUGUUUUCAAGUUUAGUGAAAGAUAUUAUAGCUUUCAUGUACUAAUGAACAUCUGAUGCUAUUUUGUAGAUGUUUUAAUAUUUUUGUUUUUAUUGCAUUAUGCACUACAAUAAUGGAUUUGUGCUAGUUAUUUCAAUGGAGAAA